rnacentral:lncRNA from 1 species
CUGUUUAUUUAAUAUGGUGCAUGUAUAAUUAAUUUGUCAAAAAUUGAAUGUAUAUCCUAUAAGCUGUACUUGCUUUUGGAAUAAAGUAAAGUAUUAUUAUUACAAUUAUAAUAAAUUGCUUUGUUGAGAACAGCUGGAUACCACCGCAGAUGUCAAACCCUGAAAAGUUUGGGCAAAAAUGGAUACAAUAUUCGCGCUUGAUACAGGUCUGAAAUUGGAUUGUAGUUAAAUAUUUGACACAUUAUAGGUUUCUGACACAGAAUAACUGUAGUAAAAGAAAUUAAAAUCAGUUAUAUGAUUUGAAUGUAUAUUCUAUUUUUUGCUUUUGUGCAAUACACUAUGCUGUUGAAUAUUAACCCAUCAAAAAAUAUUUUUUUU